AUGCAACAACUGAUCCUUAAAGAGGCCCAUGAAUCCCCUCUCACGAUUCAUCCCGGUAGUACAAAGAUGUAUCAGGACCUACGCCAGAGGUUCUGGUGGACUAGGAUGAAGAGAGAAAUCGCUCAGUAUAUUGCCAACUGUGGCGUUUGUCGUCGCGUUAAGGCAGAGCAUCAAAGACCUACUGGCACCCUUCAACCUUUAGCUAUUCCCGAGUGGAAAUGGGACAAAGUUGGUAUGGACUUCAUCACCGGCUUUCCCAGGACCAAGAAAGGAAAUAAUGCUAUCUUCAUAGUCAUUGAUCGUCUUUCCAAAGUGGCUCACUUCCUACCUAUUUGA
rnacentral:rRNA from 1 species